rnacentral:rRNA from 1 species
GAUGAACGCUGGCGGCGUGCCUAAUACAUGCAAGUCGAGCGAACAGACGAGGAGCUUGCUCCUCUGACGUUAGCGGCGGACGGGUGAGUAACACGUGGAUAACCUACCUAUAAUACUGGGAUAACUUCGGGAAACCGGAUCUAAUACCGGAUAAUAUAUUGUACCGCAUGGUUCAAUAGUGAAAGACGGUUUUGCUGUCACUUUUAGAUGGAUCCGCGUCGCAUUAGCUAGUUGGUAAGGUAAAGGCUUACCAAGGCGACGAUGCGUAGCCGACCUGAGAGGGUGAUCGGCCACACUGGAACUGAGACACGGUCCAGACUCCUACGGGAGGCAGCAGUAGGGAAUCUUCCGCAAUGGGCGAAAGCCUGACGGAGCAACGCCGCGUGAGUGAUGAAGGUCUUCGGAUCGUAAAACUCUGUUAUUAGGGAAGAACAAAUGUGUAAGUAACUAUGCACGUCUUGACGGUACCUAAUCAGAAAGCCACGGCUAACUACGUG